GUUAUUGCCAGGGGAAAGCUCCCACUGUGUCACCUGAGGAGCCUCCUGGCUGCACUAAUGGAGGUCAGGGCUACAGGGGAAUUCUCAGCGUGAUGGACGUCAAUGUCAAGAAAAACCUAUUCCUUGACUUUUACCUGAGGGCCUAUAUAACAGGGUACCGGGUCCUACAAACUUACACUCCAGCCUCUGGAUCCUGGCAUCAAUGGGAAAUGGCUACAAAUGCUGUUAAGAUGGGGCUGCUCUUGUUCAGUAAUGCUGCUGGGGGUAAGAGCGAUAGGCUGAGGAACCUGUGAACGAAACGCUG